UUGAAGAAUAUGCUAAAAGCUUCUAGUAGGAAAAAGAAACAUAGGGCCUUGUGUGCAAUGGCUGCAAACAGCAGCCUCCUUGGGAGUGCAUGUAGCCUGUUGCCUAUAUGGGUUGCCCUAAGGGACCUUGGAGACAAUU
rnacentral:snoRNA from 1 species